AUGAACGCUGGCGGCGUGCCUAAUACAUGCAAGUCGAGCGAACAGAUGAGGAGCUUGCUCCUCUGACGUUAGCGGCGGACGGGUGAGUAACACGUGGAUAACCUACCUAUAAGACUGGGAUAACUUCGGGAAACCGGAGCUAAUACCGGAUAAUAUAUUGAACCGCAUGGUUCAAUAGUGAAAGACGGUUUUGCUGUCACUUAUAGAUGGAUCCGCGCCGCAUUAGCUAGUUGGUAAGGUAACGGCUUACCAAGGCGACGAUGCGUAGCCGACCUGAGAGGGUGAUCGGCCACACUGGAACUGAGACACGGUCCAGACUCCUACGGGAGGCAGCAGUAGGGAAUCUUCCGCAAUGGGCGAAAGCCUGACGGAGCAACGCCGCGUGAGUGAUGAAGGUCUUCGGAUCGUAAAACUCUGUUAUUAGGGAAGAACAAAUGUGUAAGUAACUAUGCACGUCUUGACGGUACCUAAUCAGAAACCCACGGCUAACUACGUG
rnacentral:rRNA from 1 species